AUUGAACGCUGGCGGAAUGCUUUACACAUGCAAGUCGAACGGCAGCACGGACUUCGGUCUGGUGGCGAGUGGCGAACGGGUGAGUAACGUAUCGGAACGUGCCCAGUCGUGGGGGAUAACGUAGUGAAAAUUACGCUAAUACCGCAUACGAUCUAUGGAUGAAAGCGGGGGAUCGCAAGACCUCGCGCGAUUGGAGCGGCCGAUAUCAGAUUGGGUAGUUGGUGGGGUAAAGGCCCACCAAGCCAACGAUCUGUAGCUGGUCUGAGAUGACGACCAGCCACAGUGGAACUGAGACACGGUCCAGACUCCUAGUGGAGGCAGCAGUGGGGAAUUUUGGACAAUGGGCGAAAGCCUGAUCCAGCCAUUCCGCGUGCAGGAUGAAGGCCCUCGGGUUGUAAACUGCUUUUGUACCGAACGAAAAGGUUUCUACUAAUACUAGGAGCUCAUGACGGUACUGUAAGAAUAAGCACCGGCUAACUACGUGCCAGCCGCCGCCGUAA
rnacentral:rRNA from 1 species